rnacentral:rRNA from 1 species
UACAGGGGGGGCAAGCGUUGUUCGGAAUUACUGGGCGUAAAGGGCUCGUAGGCGGCCGGCUAAGUCCGACGUGAAAUCCCCAGGCUUAACCUGGGAACUGCGUCGGAUACUGGCGGGCUUGAAUCCGGGAGAGGGAUGCGGAAUUCCAGGUGUAGCGGUGAAAUGCGUAGAUAUUGGGAGGAACACCGGCGGCGAAAGCGGUUCCCUGGAUCGAUACUGACGCUAAGACGCGAAAGCGUGGGGAUCAAACAGG